rnacentral:lncRNA from 1 species
UCCUCGGUUGUUUUCUUCUUGUUUGAUUGUUUGGUGUCGUUGUUUUCAGCAGGUCGUUUGGUUCCAGAUCUGGCAGGUGCUAUGGAGGGUUUGGUUCCUGAUUUUAGGGUUUGUUCAAUGGGUUUGGUUUUUGGAGGUGGUUCGUCUUCAUCAGUAUCAGUUUCUUCUUCGUCUUCAUCUUCUACUGAAUUGUUCUUGGGGUUGGUUUUUGGAGGUGGAGUGGUUUUUGGAGCUUCUUCUUCGGAUGAUUCUUCUUCUUCUUCCCCUCCUUCAGAUGAAGAACCUGCUUCUGACGAAGUUUCUUCAUCGUUUUCAUCAUGUUGUUCGAUUUUGUCUUCUUGCGGUGGUGGGUCGUCUUUAACG